AAAGUGUUGUUCCUUUAAUUAUUUACGGCUUACUUAUGUUCUCUGAAACUAUGGGGUUCCUCUAGCAUGCUUGUGAUGUCUACAUGAUGCUAUAAUAUGGUUAACAGAGGUUGAAAGGAAGUGUGGUUACCUCCACUGAACUUGUGCUGCUAGUCCUUGUCUUUGCUCUUGUUUCACCCUCGCCUCCUCCCCCUUCCUCGGCUCCUCUCUUUCUUUAAUUGGAUGUUGCUUUGUGAUAAAUGGGGAGGAAGAGGCCGAGGCUGAUCUAUACUUAUAGCUGGGGUGUAACUGAAAGCUGCAAGAGUUUGUUAUCUGACUGGAAAAGGAGCCUUAAGGCUGCCCUAUGUUGGCUGCCAUCCCUGCAGCUUGCAGGCUGGGUACUCGUGAGAUAAAUGAGCUUACAGUUCCUGGACAUGCUCUGAAAAAUUACUGAAUUUGGUGUUAUAUUCUGGUGUCCCUUUUGAUGUACAUCUUAACUGCAUUUGGCUUUAUUUUGCAGGUACGAGCUGGGCAGGGCUGUUGGGGUGAAGAGGCCGAAUGGACCGCCUCACUGCAGUCUUCGGUACCGGCUGCGGGGCAGGUCGCUGCAGGCUGUUGCAGGUCCCUCGGUGCCUUCAUUCUUGCUCAUUUAGCGUCGCACGGCUAGCUGCGGGGCUUUUCCUUUUUUUGGUCUCGCCCUCUCGGGCUUUCUGGAAUGUUGGGGCCAAGACGGCUCGCGUUGAAGGCCGAGGAAGUUCACUAGGAACUCUCGGUUGUUGUAGCUCAAAGUGAACCCCUUUUGUUAGUCUUAACAACAAUGUAGUAGCCAUUGUAGUUUGUAUGUAAUAAAUUCCAAACACUUGUAAUGUGUUAGCUUUGAAAAUUCUGAAGUUGUACUUGUACCCUUAUUCAAGAAAUAAAAAUACUCUUUCAUUCGUCAA